AGGUGUUCCACUAAAGUUGACCCAGAAAAAAAAGGGUGAACGAAAAGACAUUUGCCUUUUCUCACUGUUCUCUGUAACUAAAGCUUAAACAGUUAGGGUUGGCGACUAGCAACUGGGGUCGUGGAUGAUGACGAGUGGGGUCCCGAUAAGGAGGAAGAAGGUGGCGCCGUGGCCGUGGUAAAGGAGGGGAAGCCCAGUGAGGGAGAUUGAUAACUUGAAGAAGGCAUUAGUAGAUUCGUUCUAUGGGACCGAUCGUGGGUUGACGGAGACUAGCGAAACGAGCAGAAAUUGUUGAGCUUAUCACACAGCUUGAAGCUAAGAAUUCGACUCCCACACUGACUGAGGCGUUAACUUUGCUUAACGACAAAUGGAUUCUUGCGUGGCUGCAGAUCUCUCCAAGAAACUGUGUUAAUUCUGAUGGCAAAAAUCGGUGUUUAAAUUUGUGCCUACCAAGAGUAUAGGUAUACAUCCUUUUCCUGUUUGUUCCCCUUAUUGUCAAGGGGUUCAUUGCAAUUGACGAGAGUGGAGGAGGUAUCUCAGACAAUUGACUCAUUAAUUGGUGAGGGCUCAUAUGGAAGAGUGUAUUUCGGUGUUGUGAGAAGUGGGUAGCUGCAGCCAUCAAGAAAUUAGAUUCCAGUAAGCAACCAGACCUAGAAUUUCUAGCACAGGUUUCCAUGGUAUCAAGACUUAAACAAGAAAAUGUUGUUGAGCUUGUUGAAUUUUGCAUUGAUGGCCCUCUACGUGUCCUUGUCUAUUAGCAUACUUCAAAAGGAUCUCUUCGUGCCAUUCUUCAUGCAUCUCCAAUGCCGCCCUGACAAUGAUUUCAUCUCUCCUAUCACUGCCGCGUGGACAGCAAACCCUUGUGACAUGGGCAACUCCAAAACUCAGCGAAGAUAAGGUGAAGCAAUGCAUUGAUGCUAAGUUAAAUGGAGAAUACCCUCCUAAGACAGUUGCAAAGGUACUGAAGAUGGUAAUUUCGGUUGAAAAUAAUACAUCAAAUUCAAGCGUUCUUGGUGGAAGAGCAAAAGAUUGUGAAGAAGGUUUUGAAGAUCCAUAAAGCAAAGGAAAAGAAAGAUUCAAGGAGCUAGAAAGUGGGAGGAUGAAAGCAAAACUUUUUGGAUUUUAAGAAAUGAAUGAGAAACUGGAAAAGUUGUUUUCUUGUAUUGAAUUCCCUAUUUUUAUUGGGUUUGAAUUGACAAAAUUUCUCAUAUAUAUAUGCACUGUAAUUUUACAA